rnacentral:rRNA from 1 species
UACAGAGGUCUCAAGCGUUGCUCGGAUUCAUUGGGCGUAAAGGGUGUGUAGGUGGCGCCGUAAGUCGGGUGUGAAAUUUCGGAGCUUAACUCCGAAACUGCAUUCGAUACUGCGGUGCUUGAGGACUGGAGAGGAGACUGGAAUUCAUGGUGUAGCAGUGAAAUGCGUAGAGAUCAUGAGGAAGACCAGUGGCGAAGGCGGGUCUCUGGACAGUUCCUGACACUGAGACACGAAGGCCAGGGAGCAAACGGG